CAACUCAGCAAUCUUAGGAUCUUUUAAUCUUUGGCUAUAGAUCAUCUCUUCCUUAAACAGGGCAAGAACUUGUUAUCCUCAAGCUGUCCAUUCCAAGUCAUCUGUUUAUUUGGUUUACAAGCUAUCUUGUAUUGACUAAUGGAGAUGAGAGAUAGAAGCAAACAGGAAGACCACCGGAAGAAGCUUCACGCCCUAUAAAAAGACGGCUCCUUUCUUCCUCAGAGAAACGAGGACCUUUUUAUCUUCUGCUGCAAGGAUCUCCUUGCAAGGGAAGUAUCUCUCGCCAUGGAAGCGUUGGCGUCUCCGUGCUAUUCCGACACGGGAGUGGAUCAGAGUUUCUUCCGUCAGUGGGAGUUGAGUGCUUUUGAUCUUCUCGGUGCGCAACAACUGGAAGCGGCUUUUGGGCGAGAUUUGGAUCAGUCUCCCUCAUCCGAAAGCUACACCUCCUACCCUUCCUUCCAUCCGGCGGCCAGCACCGAAAGGCCCAAGAAGAUCGCCAAGACCAGCAGCUGGAGUUCUUGCACCACCUCGUGUCCAAGAAUUCUGUCAUUUGGCAACCCGGAAUCGCCCAUCUGUCUUGCUGCGACGGUGAAGCCGAAAGAAGAGAUGGAAGCCUUGAUCCUCGGACAAGGGGCCAAGAAGGUAAGCACGGGGGCUAAACCCGCCGCUCAGAACCAGGAACACAUCAUGGCCGAGAGGAAGCGACGAGAGAAGCUCAACCAGCGAUUCAUAGCGCUGUCUGCAGUAGUUCCUGGCUUGAAGAAGACGGACAAGGCUUCCGUUCUUGGCGACGCCGUCGAGUACCUGAAGCGGCUCCAGGAGAAGGUCAAGUCCCUGGAAGAUCGAGUAUCGAAGAGGAACGUGGAGGCGGCAGUCCUCGUGAAGAGGUCGCAGCUAUGUGCUGCUGAUGAUGAUGAUGAUGGCUCCCCCGGCGAUGAGAGCUUCAUCGAAGGCCAAGGAGGCCAGUCCCUUCCGGAGAUCGAGGCCAGGGUGUGCGAGAAGGCUAUCCUGAUCAAGAUCCACUGCGAGAACCGGAAAGGAGUGCUGGUGAAAGCUCUCUCCGAGAUCGAGACGCUCCACCUUCGCGUGAUGAACACCAGCGUCGUGCCCUUCUCUGGUUCUUCUCUCGACAUCACCGUGGUGACCCAGAUGGAAGAGGGAUUCUCCAUGACAGCCAAAGACCUGGUGAAGAAGCUGAACUCGGCUUUCAGACAAUUCAUGCGAUGAAACCACUUGAAUUCCCUGACUUCUUCUUCUUCUUCUUCUCUUUGUCGACUGCGCUAAUGCCUUUAAGAACUUCUUCUUCCUCUGUUUGUCCCUCGACACACCAAAGGUCACCAUUUUCACUUGUUUUUGCUGCACGGGGCUUCCAUCUUCAAGUUCCUUGCUCUUCUCUUCGACUUUUUCGCAUGGUCGAGUCACUUGAUCAUGUUUUCGGAAGAGACGAGCGAGAUACUUGGCUCUGUUUUUUGACUUCUUCUUUUUCUAGGACUUCAUUGGGGGAGGUUGACUUUCGAAAACCUCUCUUUUCCUCCCCCUUCCCUGUUGUCCUUUAUCUCUGAAGAGGUUGACUAUUUAAGCCUGUUUCUCAGCUUCCCAUCAGUGUUUAAUCCUCGAAGGUUGACCGUAGGAAAAAGAUGGUGCACUUGUAAGUCAUGGGGAAAAUUUGAGCCACUCAUGAAUAAUUCCUGGUUGUAAUUUUCUUUCUGUUCUUGUAGAAAUUUCUAAGUGACACCCAACAUGCUGUACUCUCACAAACAAUUUGCAUGGGCUGCAUGGUUAUAUAUACACACACACACACUAUGUUCAGAGUUCGGGUCUCGGAUCUGCCUGCAUCCAGAUCCAAAUCCAAUAAAAUGUCGGAUAUGGGUAAAGGAUCCUCAUCCGCGAGAGCUUAAAGCAACGGGUGUUUCAAAGCAGGGCUUCAAUUACGAUCUCGUCCAUUAAAUAUCCAUUUAGAAGAGAACGAACGGUUGUGAUCAUGCCAAGUCGCAGGCCACUGCGCAAAACCGUCACCCUUUCCCGGCCGUGUCACAACAAAUGGUCACGCGGUUCGCAUCACUCUCUCGCUUCUCAUUCGUCGAACUCACGUCAUACUGAUCCUUUUAAACCCCACCCCAACCGCCGUAAAAAUUCAAUUUUUAUUCUCCUCUUCGUUUCGUUUCUGGAAUUCCUUCGUCGAUCCAUGGCGACUCGCUCUCUGUUGCUCGUGGGGUUCCUCAAUCUCGUCAUGGUGGGAGUUUCGAACGGUCUAAUUUCCUCGAAUCCAUCGACUCACCGAGCGAUUUCGAAUUUGAGGGAUGCGGUCGUCAAGGGGCUCGGGAUCCAUGCGGAGGGCGUGGAGGUGUCGGGGUUCGACGUGCGGGACGUACGGGUGGGGCAGUCGGUCGCCUACGAGUUCGACAUCGAGAUCGAUAAGAAGGUGAUCCCG